AUAGCUCUACAAAACUCCAGUAUGCUUAAUGAAGUUUUCAUAAAAUUGACAUUUGAUCAUAUUUGACAAUGUGCCAAACGCAAAGGGAGGCGAGCAUAAUUCAUUUAACUACAACUGAAGAUACAAAACUAAUUUAGUAACAAUUCAUUUAUUAGGCUCAUCAACGCCGACCAUUUUAAAGUGGAACAUUAAAGCGACAUUACACCUAAUGAAUUCAAAAGCGCUUCGUAUUUUGUGGAAUAUUUUUUCUUUAAAUGGGUCCGUUUAAUCGACUUCUUGUGGCAGCUUUAGCCAAAUAAAUGUAUAUUUUCAAGGACGUGCAAUUAAUUUCAUUGAAUGGAGGUUCUACUAAAGAAAAUUGAGUUUCGAUAAACAGAAUAUUUUAAUGACGACGCUUGCAGCUGAAAGAAUGUUUGCCCGAUGUUAGUAUCGAAUUCACGUCUCUCGGCCCAGCAGUCAGAGGCGCUCCCUACUGGACCACCAACUCGAUCAGGUUUCAUGCGUGUCAUGGUGUCAUGAGUAUAACGUCAACUUUCACAAUGUGAAUUUGACAGAAUUGGCAAGCGAAUGAGUGACGCGGGAAAUGGAGAGAAUAAACUAAACGAAUUUAGAAUUAUUUCACCAGCAAGAUGAAUACCAGCUUGUUCCGUUUUAUUUAACUUUGUUUUGUGUUCUAUUUGACACUUUAAAAUAUAUUUCACUGAGAAAAUUAA